AUGCUCGCUUUGGCAGCACAUAUACUAAAAUUGGAAUGAUACAAAGAAGAUUAGCAUGGCCCCUGCACAAGGAUGACAGGCAAAUUCGUAAAAUAUUCCAUAUUAAA